rnacentral:misc_RNA from 1 species
AUAAACAAAAUCCAAAUUUAUCAGCACCGAAGCUCAUUUAAUUUGUUAUUUUAUCUUUAUCAAGAAAAAUGGCAAUGAACUUGCUUACGCUUACAAUUUCACAAUCUUAAGGAGAAUAUGAACUCCUAUGAUGAACAAGGGUACUGACUAAUGUAAUAAACGCAAAUUAAUGAAAGCACUGAAAAUAAGUUAUCCAACAUUAAAUCUGUGGACACACUUGCGUGUCUGUGUCUGGGGUCCCCAAAAGCAAUUCCUCUACAAUCCCACCAAACCUUCAUGGGGAUCCAAACACAGGAAGGCAAAAUGUGCAAGCAUCCAGAAAAGUCUGAGAACCGAUUUCAGGAUUCUAAACCAACAUUACGAAAUUCAAAGCAAUUUCACUGACUUCAACUAAAGAACAAUACGCAAUGCCUCAGUGUAGUAGCAUUAGCAUAUCACACUUAUUUCAGACACAUUAAAAACAAAUACAUAUACCCUUAAAUUAGGAAAUGUGAAUUCACAAAAAAAGUUAUUGAAAUUGAGCAAUGCUGAAAUCAACACAUCCCAGAUCCCAGAUGACAGAUUCACUAUAAAAGAAGGGAAGCGAUCGCAGUGGGA